rnacentral:lncRNA from 1 species
CUGGAACAGGAUUGUGCCGGGAGUUACUUCAUCUCUUAACUCUUGAUCCCCAGGGGGCCACUAUCCGUGGUGGCUGGAAGGACCUGAGCUCCGUUUGUCCCAGCCCUCCGUUUGAUUGUCAGCAGGCAUUUGCCCAGCACCUACUCCGUGCCAAGCCGCCAGAACACAGAGGAUGGCAGAGAGUCCACCUGCUUAAGUUGGAAAUCUGUGCACCACGAAAGUGAAAUAGGGUGCCUUGAUGAAAUUGGAUGAUUUUCAUCCACUCAGGGUGAGUGACCGGCAGCCAGGAGCUGGGUCGGAGAAGAUGGUGGAUUUCCGUACGUCUGAUGGACGACUCCGCGGGUUCCGGCUAACAGCCUUUCUGUUUUGUGCCUAUUUCACUGUUUAGAUUUAACAUUGC